GCCGCGGGUUGCUGACCCCUGGUAUAGCAUAAAGCAUGAGACUCUUAAUCUCAGGGUUGUAGGUUUGAGCCCCAUGUUGGGCA